GCCCUGGUGGCACAGUGGUUAAGUGCUUGGCUGCUAACUGAAAGGUCAGUGGUUCAAACCCACUCAGUGGCU
rnacentral:tRNA from 1 species